rnacentral:rRNA from 1 species
UACAGAGGUCUCAAGCGUUGUUCGGAUUCAUUGGGCGUAAAGGGUGCGUAGGCGGUGAGGUAAGUCGGAUGUGAAAUCCCGGGGCUCAACCCCGGAACUGCAUUCGAUACUGCUUUACUUGAGGACUGGAGAGGAGAUUGGAAUUCACGGUGUAGCAGUGAAAUGCGUAGAGAUGUGGAGGAAUACCGAUGGCGAAGGCAGCCCCCUGGGAUAACACUGACGCUCAUGCACGAAAGCGUGGGAAGCAAACAGA